CUGCUGUAACCCUGAACAGGAUACACAGGUUCAAGUAAAAGGACAGCAAACAAUUCCACAUUGCACAGCCAGGAAACAGAAGAGUACCACUCUGCUAUUGAUCGGGCAAAGACCCCAAGAAGACCAACUGGCUUGUGCUAGUUAGAAGUGGCUCACCUCUGCUGAUAUCUUUCAUAUCAAAGGAGUGUUUGACUGCACGCAGCACUGCCCCCCCACAA